AACGAACGCUGGCGGCAUGCCUAACACAUGCAAGUCGAACGAGACCUUCGGGUCUAGUGGCGCACGGGUGCGUAACGCGUGGGAACCUGCCCUUAGGUUCGGAAUAACUCCCCGAAAGGGGUGCUAAUACCGGAUAAUGUCUUCGGACCAAAGAUUUAUCGCCUUUGGAUGGGCCCGCGUUGGAUUAGCUAGUUGGUAGGGUAAAAGCCUACCAAGGCGACGAUGCAUAGCUGGUCUGAGAGGAUGAUCAGCCACACUGGGACUGAGACACGGCCCAGACUCCUACGGGAGGCAGCAGUGGGGAAUAUUGGACAGUGGGCGAAAGCCUGAUCCAGCAAUGCCGCGUGAGUGAUGAAGGCCUUAGGGUUGUAAAGCUCUUUUACCCGGGAUGAUAAUGACAGUACCGGGAGAAUAAGCUCCGGCUAACUCCGUG
rnacentral:rRNA from 1 species